rnacentral:rRNA from 1 species
UACGAAGGGGGCUAGCGUUGUUCGGAAUUACUGGGCGUAAAGCGCGCGCAGGCGGCUAUCCAAGUCAGUGGUGAAAUCCUGGAGCUCAACUCCAGAACUGCCUUUGAUACUGAAGAUCUUGAGUUCGGGAGAGGUGAGUGGAACUGCGAGUGUAGAGGUGAAAUUCGUAGAUAUUCGCAAGAACACCAGUGGCGAAGGCGGCUCACUGGCCCGAUACUGACGCUGAGGCACGAAAGCGUGGGGAGCAAACAGG